CUGCAAGGCAAAGAAAUAUCCAGAUGUCAAAUCUGCAAAAGAAGGAACAGCCACACUGCUGAGAGGACAUAGUCCUGGCCCUGACUCCUGGUUUGUAGAUAUUAGAUGGAGAUCCUCAAUUGCCUCAGGUAUUAUUUCUAGACAGCAUGCGAAGCCAAGGCUUGUGUUCUCCAGUCCAAGAAGAAUAUUUUAAGCAAAAGUAUUCCAGCCCAUCUCCUGAACCUACAGCCUGCAGAAGGUCGACUACAUUGAAGAUGAAACAAAAAUAAUCCAGAGAAGCAAAAUUCCUUUUCAGUGUUGUGCUUAAGCUUUUGUUGCUGGCCAUGACAUCAUAAGGUAUGGGACAUCCCUUUGGACAGCUUGGGCCAGCUGUCCUGGCUGUGUCCCCUCCCAGCUCUUUGC